rnacentral:rRNA from 1 species
UACGUAGGGUCCGAGCGUUGUCCGGAAUCAUUGGGCGUAAAGGGCGCGUAGGUGGCCCGGUCAGCGUGCGGUGAAAGCUCGGGGCUCAACCCCGAGUCGGCCGUGCGAACUGCUGGGCUUGAGCACUGUAGAGGCAGGCGGAAUUCCGGGUGUAGCGGUGGAAUGCGUAGAGAUCCGGAAGAACACCGGUGGCGAAGGCGGCCUGCUGGGCAGUGGCUGACACUGAGGCGCGAC